UACGUAGGGGGCAAGCGUUGUCCGGAAUUAUUGGGCGUAAAGAGCUCGUAGGCGGUCUGUCGCGUCUGCUGUGAAAAACUCAGGGCUUAACCCCUGAGCUUGCAGUGGGGUACGGGCAGACUAGAGUGCGGUAGGGGGAGACUGGAAUUCCUGGUGUAGCGGUGAAAAUGCGCAGAUAUCAGGAGGGAACACCGAUGGCGAAGGCAGGUCACUGGGGCCCGCAA
rnacentral:rRNA from 1 species